CCCCUUAUGCUGCUAACCCAAUCUUUUGGGAAAGAGAAGGAGAAGCAUGUAAGAGAGUUUUGAUGCUCCACAGAGCGGUGUUAAUGAAAAUUGAAGGCCAGAGGGAAGGAAGAGAAAUUGCCACCUCCUCAGGAAGGAAUUCAGAAGACUUCUCACCAGUAAUUCCUCUACCAAGAAGUCAGACAGACUUCAGUACAUGGAAUGUGAUUCCGUCCUAACUCCAGCAUCAGCUUCAAUGUAUAUAUGCUACCAUGUUUACUGCUGCUCCCUUUGCUUAGAUCACAGAACAGAGAGCACAGAGCUGCUAAAUCAGAAUUGACAGCCUAGGAAGCCAAGCAGUCAUAUUCCAGCAACGGUCAAGUACUUUUUCAGGGAAGAAUUUGCAAAGUAAUAAGUUCCAUAUCGUUUUUUGGCAUAGUCCGGAAGGAAUAAGCAAACAAAAGGGACAGCAUGUCUUUUGUGUGCUCUGCAGCAACGUACACAAAUAUUGUCCAUAUCUCUUUAUGGAAAAGAAAGCUGCCAACAUGAAAGAAAAAUAAAAACCUGAAGGAAAUUUUGGCCUGGUUUACCAGUGCUAUGGAAUAGAGGACCUCUUUGAAACUGUCUUCUCAGAAUUGCCUGAGAUACAAGUGACUCUCUUUUUUGCUCCUAUUUCAAUGAAAUGGAUAUGCUCAGAAGUUUAGGCAGGCUUGUGGCCCUUCUGGGUAUGCCGUGGGUCUUCCUUUACUUUCUCAUCAACUUGCCAGGCCUUGCCUUUGUACUAUGUGGACUCAAACUAUGAAGACAGCAGAACUCCAGAUGAUGCAUCUCAAGGGUGCGGCUUCUUUGCCAUGGGCAACACAAGCUAAUUGCCAAGUUUACUGCUUUUUCCAGCCUUUUUUCCAUACUUAGAAACAGCAAAUUAGAGACUGAUGCGAUUCAAAUCAGAUCGUUAGAUUUCUUCAGAUCUGCGUUGCUCCUACCAUUUUUAAUCACGUUCCCUACACACUAAGGAAUGUGCUGAGUUCAAACCUACCUGCAUUUUGUCAGUGACACAGCCUUGAGUCUAGUCCAAGACCGACCAGAAUCAACUGCUCUGUGUCUCACCUUCAUGGCCACUGCUCUGUAGACUCUGCCAUUCACUCAUUCUGUAUUUUCUCGUACUAGAAAGGGAUUAAAUUAAGGGAGAGGUGAUUAGAAACAGAAGGGAACUUGUUUUUAAUGAUCUGUACUUUGUUCACAAAAUAACUCACAAACCAUUCACUGAUACCUUUUGAUUUGCAGACCUUCCUUGCAGGCUCUGAGUCAAAUCAGUGAUCCAGAAGAGCUCAGAGAGGAGACAUUCCCCCUACCCCCCCCCCCCCCCCAAAAAAAAAGCAGUGAUAUUGGAAAAAGAUGUGGCCCUCUGCAGCUGUCAUGGCCUUUGAUAUCCAGCUACAUGUUGUUUCCAUAUUGCAUAGUGAACUGUGAGACCAGAUGAUCUCCAUAAAUAAUGCAGUCUCAUGAUUUCCUCAAUUACUAUUCCAACAAAAACUUCCAAAGGGUCGAUGCACCAGGGAGCACUCUGUGAGCACAUGGGGACACCACACCUUUAAGGUACUUGUGAGCACAGAUGAGAGAUGUCCCCAUGUGAGAGGCAGUCUAGACAUAGGCAUCCAGUCCUGUAGAAGGCUCUGACACUUGGAAGUAAACCUAGAACAACUUGCAUUGAGAGAUCUUGCUGAUCAGUGUUGUUAGCAUGGUUCCUGUUGCUCAUCUGAGACUGUUAUACAUAUGAGGUUUAAUUAUUAACAAGAUAAAUUGUGGACAUUGGUUAGGAGGAUUCCUUUGUCAUCUUUAAAUCUCCUCCUUCUAGGAAGUCCUUCAAACCUCUAUAUGAAAAGUUCCUAGAUUGAGCUGCCUUCUACUGUGGUAUUGUUGCAGUUGUAAAAGAAAUUCAUUAGAUAUUUUUCUGCUGCAUGAAUCCCUAGGAAGCCCCUUUCACAAAGAGCAUUCAAUAAGAGCUUUUACCCUGUACCAAGAUAUUGGCCACAGGAGUGAGAAGCACAUAUGACUUACUAACACAUUUGUAACAGAUAAAAUUAAAUAUAAUAAAUUUCCUUUUCCCCACCACGGAUUAUCACCUUUGUGCCUCCUCUACCAGCAGCUAUAAAUUAACUUCUAGCAGUCAGACUUGUCUGGCCUCCAAAAGUUCCUCUUGCCAAUGAAAGGCUGUGUCAUCUCUAAACAGUAUUUACCAACUUAGCUGAAGGCAUCCUUGAGAGACUGGGCCUUCUCAAAGGGCCUGACUGGGUCUCGUGAAUGCCCGUGUUUUUAGAUAAACAGCAGAGCAGGAUGUAGAGGCAGACAGCACUGGCAGAGCUGAGCAGAUGGGAAGGUGAGCUGAAACAGAUCAGUUAUUCACUCAGGCCCCAGCUGAAAGUUGAUUAUACGGAAAGCUGUGUGUAAAGUAUUUAUAGUCAGGCCCCAAAACUCAAAAUCUAUUCCAAGUGGGAUAGUUUACAUAGUCAAAUAUAUUCCCAUUAAUGCCUGUAUUUGCUUACUAAGAUGCUUUAUUUAGUUGUGUUUUUUGUUAUUGUUGCUGUUUUUUUAUUUUUUAUUUUUUAUUUUCAAAUCUACUAAUUACCUCUAAACAAUAUCAUCCCUGUGAAAUGUUCUCAUUGAAAGAUUCAAAGGCUCUGAAAGGACUGAGAAUUCCCACCUAACUGAGAACAGAUUUAUGCCUGGAUUCAGCCCCCAGUCCUGCCUCCCACAGACAGUUCCCAACAGAAGAAGUCACUGGGUUUCCUUCCUAGCCUUUCUGAAUGCUGGAAGCCACAUGCACGUGGGUGCUUGUUAGUAGUUAUGCCUUUAUUUUGAUGCAUGGCACGAUAGCUUAUGAUACCAUAAAACCUACCAAAAAUAGCAACCCAAUUGUUGGCUGCAAAAAUCACAAAGACUUUGGAAAGCUCAGCGAUGACAACUGUGAGUGCCGGUAAGACGUCUUACUGAAGGGUAGGUAGGUCUUCUCAGAACAAAACACAAGUUCAUGUACACGUUUCUUGACAUUUAUGUGUAUAAGCACGUGCAAAGCAUAGACGCUACAGUUGAAAUUGCCUUUUGUAGUCUGGUUUUACAGCUGCAUUGAAUGCAGCCUGGGAGCAUGACAAAAGGCUGACACCACGGAUCUCUGUCAUACCCUUUCUGCAGGAUUUUCACUUUGAUACUUUUCAGUCAUGUUUUGACUGAUAUGUGUAUAUAUUCACACACAUAAGCAUACCUAUGUAUGCAUAACAAUAUUUCUUGCAGAAGGACAUGUUUCUUCUAUAUUUUGAUUCCUGCUAACACUGUGAUCUCUGGAGACCUGGGCUAUAUCUUCUCAUGUUUGGCUCAUGUAUACAGACAAACACAACACAAUAACCUCCCUAUUUUUCCACAUAGAGCCUAAUUUAUAAUGGUUUAAGAUGAGGGAGGAAUGUCUGUUUUUUAAUAUAAGUUUUGUUGAACUUUUGAGAGGAACUUUGCUGCCAUAUGACCUGAGACACAGAAAAUGUUGAUACCAAUAAAAUCUUAGCAGAGUAUGCCAAGAAAAUCAGCAUUUAGUUUACCUAGGGUAUCCCAGAGGAAACAUACAGUUAAUACUGGAGUUUAAAAUAUCUUAGCCUUGGAAUCUUAAAACUCCAUCAGCACUUGGAAGAGGGGGAAGAAAGAGUAACAAAAAAAUCCCAUAGUAGCAAGGAUGUUAAACACACACACAUGCAACAUGUAGCACAACUCAAUGGAUCACUUUUAGGGGCGAUGGGUUAUUUCUGACUGGUUUUGCUCUUGAUCUCCUCUUAUUUGAAGCACUGCAGAAAAAAAAUAAUAAUAAAACUUUCCCUUUUUGAGAGUACCUUAUAAUGAAAACAAGAAUAUUUUGAAAGGAAAGAAUAGGAAAUGUUGACUGGGGUGUCCUGCUGCUUUUUAAGUAGUCCAGCUCCCAAGAUUUAUGUCAAGAGCAACAGAAGGUUGGAAAUGAAAGAAUGCUCUUGAAGUUAUGCUCCGUAACUCA